AGAAUUGGAAGCAAAACACAACAUUGUGCUUCACUCCCACACAGUAU
rnacentral:ribozyme from 1 species